UUCCUCUCUUUCCUUCCAGAAUCAUCAUAUAACUCUUUUAAAACGUUUUUAGAAAAGAUUUGAGCACUUAAACACAUGAAAUCAUGAAAAUCUAAAAUCAAGAUGUUCUUGAAGUUGGUGGCUUCGAAAAUGGUAUUUCCAGGACCCUAAGAUCAUGCUUGAAUGCUUCUGAGACUUCCUAAGGAUGAUAUAAGGAUGAUUGAAUGGUUGGUUUGGAGUUUUGGACAAGUUUGGACAAAAAUGGAAUUUUAGGGACCAAAAUAGGAAUAAUGAAUUGUUCAAAGACCUUAAUGCAAUUAUAAAAUUGAGCAAGGACUAUGGUAAUUCAUGAUUAACUUCCAGAGGCUUAAAUAAAAUUAAUUUGGUAUUUUUUUCAAGCUUUGGAUAAUUUUGUUGCUUUAUUUUGUUAAUUAAACAUGUCUUUUUAAGCCUUAUAAUUAAUUGUUUAUGUUUAAAAUUGCUUAUAACAUGUUUAGAAUUGAUCACCUAGCUUAAUAUGAUUCUUAUAAAUAUUUGAUGGGUUAAGUUUAAUUUUUGAGCAAUUUAAUUAAUUAUUUACUAAUUUUUAUCACUUUAAAGGUUUAUUUAAUUGUGAAAUUAAUUAAUAUUUAAUGAAAUAAAUUAUUUUAUUAUUCAGAAUAUAUUAUGGCUUAUGUGAACCAAGUUUUGUUAAUUUAAAUGUUGUAAUAAAGAAAUUAAGGUAUUUUAAGGUUAAAAUUGGACUAAGGGCAAAAUGGUCAUUUCACAUACUUAUAUCAUUGCUGCUGAAAUAAUCAAGUUUAAAUGAACUUAGUUGAUAUAUGAUUUUAUAAUCAAGUAAUCUUUAUGUGUUAAGCUUAAAUUAUCAAUUAACGUAAUUGUUUUUGAUUAAAGGAAUUAAUUAUGUAAACAAGGGUAAAACGGUAAUUUCACCUAGAAAGCUUAAAAUCAGCAACUCAUGUUACAUUAAUGGUUUCUCUAUUGGACUAUGAAGUAUUGGACUUGGAUUCGACUUAGAAAGGGUUUAGGUACCUGAGACUGAAACUGAGACUUGAGACUGUAAUUCUUGGACGUCGGAUGAUUUAAUUUACGACAAAACUUCUUUUAUGAAUAAGGACUUAAUUUCCACGAGUUUUAUACGUUAUAUAUUUUAUCUCUAUUAUUUUGACGAAUUUUGAUAGUAGAGUAUAUUUAUAUUAUCGUGCAGAAACUUUCGACGUUUAUCGGUUUAAUCUGCAAAUAACAAACGGUACUAAGGAGAAUACCCCUAGUUCGGAGGAGUAUUAAGUAUGCUAGGAUUGUCUUUGAGCUUUGUGAAGUCUUGAAAUAAAUCGGGUUUCGUUUUCCCGCUUUUGAACUCUAUGGUAUUAUGUUGAAUAAUAUUGUAAUAUAUUCGAACUCGCUACGAGCUUAUGUAAUAUUAUUAAGGGUUGGGUAUUAAUGUAAUAUAUGCCAGUAAGUCAGAAGUACUUGCUUUCUCGA